CCGUGCUAGACGGGGAGGUAGCGGUGCCCUGGACCUGCAACCCGCUAGAGCAGGGUUGAAUUCCUGUCCUCGGCCUUUACUUUGCAGGGUCUGCCCCUGGUAAGUGGCGAGGAAGCUCUGGUCCUGUGCGGCGCGAGCCCAUGAACCCCGUCAGGUCCGGGAGGAAGCAGCGGUAAGUGGAUCCUUGCGGGUGCCACAGGGUUGCUGGGGCCGAGCAAACUGCCCGGGUUACGCCUGGGGGGUAAGGUCAAAGACAGGUGCACGG
rnacentral:SRP_RNA from 1 species